GAGGAAUAUUGGGCAAUGCCCGCAAGGGUGACCCAGCAACGCCGCGUGGAGGAUGAAUGUCGUAAGAUUGUAAACUCCUGUUAGAGGGGAAGAAUAGUACCGGUUGGACCGGUAUAUGACUGUACCCUCAGAGAAAGCCCCGGCUAACUACGUGCCAGCAGCCGCGGUAAUACGUAGGGGGCAAGCGUUGUCCGGAUUUACUGGGUGUAAAGGGCGCGCAGGCGGGAUAAAAAGUCAGUGGUGAAAUCCUACAGCUUAACUGUAGAACUGCCUUUGAUACUUUUAUUCUUGAGUUCGGGAGAGAGAGACGGAAUUCCAGGUGUAGUGGUGAAAUACGUAGAUAUCUGGAAGAACACCAGUUGCGAAGGCGGUCUCUUGAUCCGACACUGACGCUGAGGCGCGAAAGCGUGUGGAGCAAACA
rnacentral:rRNA from 1 species